UGCUUAUGCUAAUGUGGAAGUGUUAUCUUAGUGUUAAGAUGCUAAUCCCAGACUCUCUGGAAAUCAGGAAUGUUUACAAACAGGUGGCUUUGGCAGCGGCGUUCCCGCAGGCUCCCGGCGCGCCAGGCCCGCGGAGGAGCGCGGGGCGCGGCGUGACCGGAGCGCGCGCGGGCCGUUACCGUGAGGGCAGGGCGCGAGCGCGGCCCCUCAGGGCACCGAGCGGCGGCCGGGAUGCAGGAACCGGGGGCAGGAACCGCGGGCAGCGCAGCUUUAUGUUUCAGAGUCAUUCUGAUUAUGGAGCACUGACACAAAAGAAGGUAUUUGGAAAGAGGGAAAUCUGUGAAGAAUUCAAAAAUAUGCAGCAAAUGAAGAUGAAAGGGAAACUUGAGCUUUCCUGAAGAUACAAGAGCUUAGCACAAGAAAU